CAGUGGCUGCCUCCAGCUCAGCUCCUGCAGAAGAACCAUCUGAUGAAGCUCUGCUUGCUGUAGUGUCACACAUGGAUGUUUCAGCUUUCAGAUGGAUGGUUUUGGAAGCAGUAAGCUGACUUGGCUCCUGAACCACCCGUCCGGCCUGAACCUGUGCCCUCUGCGUCGAGAGCUGCUGCGCCAGAAAAGCAGCCUCUGCCCACAGAGGAACUGCUGCUGCCAGAAGGCUGGAGACAGACACUUCCCAAGGAGCAGCAUUUGUGGGUCAGCAAGGCUCUUUUCACCAGAGACAAGUCUGGCAGACUGGCGCUGACUAAAAACAUGCGUCUCUGGUGGCAUCCUCCUGGGCCCCGUCCUUUGUAUUCUCAACCUCCUUCAUCACCAGAUGCAUUUUAUCAUGCAAGGCUGUUCCUGUGGGUCCCUUAUCGCUUGUGGGCAUACCGGCUGCUGUGUUCACAGCCUAACUGUCGGCGUCUUGGCUUCCCGAUGACAGCGUGUGGAAUGUACAAGACGGU